UCUUGAACCUUGCAUUUCCUCCAUUGUCAAUUGUCAUGUUUCAAGAUUGUGUCAAUAUGAUGUGGGGCUUUCUUCACUCCAUCUUCAUUUAGGAAAAUAAUAUUUUUUCAUGUAUAAAAUAUGUAUUCUAAGAUUUAUUCUCUUCAACAAAUAACAUUUCAAAUCCAUUAGUACCAUAACACAUGAAAAGGAAAAUGAGAUGAAUUACUUCAGUAUUGUGCCGGAACUAUUGACCCAAUUGUAUGAUAAAGCUAAAUAAUUUUUUUUUGUUGCCAAAUUUAUCUCUAGCAUGCAUCCUCCUUUAUCGGGUGCGCUAUUUCAACUAAUGAUGGACUCCACAAUUUUUAACUUUAUAGCCACUCUUUUUAUAGUUUCUUCAUGUCGUUGAGCUCUCACACCUCAACCUACGACUCCUGACUAGUUAGCCUUGGCUGCUGGCUCUAAGGGUGGUCAGGGGAUUUAUGGAUAUGGUGACAAUUGUGAUCGUAGACAUACUACUUUUCCUCCAUGCCCUCAUUACAGUUGAACCAAUCACCCUUUCGAAUAUUGUUGGAUAGCAUACUUCCACAAUUGGUCCAACCUUGCCUACUCUCAUGCAUCCUCAUAUGAAAUUAUCAUUAUCUCUUAGUUAGAUUAUGAUUGAUUUCUUUAAAAAUCUCAAAAAGUCUCUCUCAGCCGUUCAUGUCAUCUUUUCCUUAGAAUUCAUUGCAAUUUUCUCUGUUGUUACAUUCUGGGUUUUAUAUUAAAUGCUUUUUUCCAUGCAACUGGUAACCGCCAACUAUGUUUUUCUUUACAUGUUGUCCACACCUCUUGUUGUUUUUACUGAUAGUUUUCCCUCUCUUAUUUUUUGAAAAGGGCAUUUUAUUCAUCUUUCUAAAUCUCUUUUUUAGAUAUUUCAUGUCCUAUAGUUUCUUGUAAAGCAAUUUUCUGUUCAUUAUCUUACUAAAAAUCAUAAUUGCGCUUUGACUUUCUUGCCCUCUCAUUAAGAUUUUUCAUAAUCUUAACUUAAGUAAGAUGAUUGAUCGAGAUUUUGAAGUAGACAGAGUUUACAACUUGAUGACUAGUGCUCUUUCAUCUCCUCUACCACCAUUACUUUGUAUCAAUGGCAUGGUCGAUUAGAAUUUUGUUGGUUUAUCCUCUUCUAAUGGAUAUAUUGCUACUGGCUCGGAAACAAAUGAGGUUUUCGUAUACCAGAAAGCUUUCCCCAUGCCUGUUUUGUCAUACAAAUUUGGCAGCAUUGAUCUUAUGUCUGGCUUUGAAGCUGAUGAUGCCAAUCAGUUCAUCUCCUGUGUGUGCUGGCGUGGCCAAUCUACUGAUCUAAUCGCAACAAAUUCAAACGGAAACAUCAAAAUUUUAGAGAUGGUGUAAUUUUCGUUUUUUUUUCAUAAAGAGUCGUUGCAUUCAGGCACUGUAAUUUUUACACUGUAAAAUCGGAAUGUUGAUGGUUCUAAAGGCGUACGUAGAUCAUGGUGCUGACAUACUGUAUGAUAGUUAAGGAAAACAAAAGAAUUAUUUAUAGGAAAUAUAAAUUCACUUGGAUGAGUAUUUUUUUCCCCUUUCUUUCUCGAGGAGGAAACCCAUUUCAUGAAGCUUCCACUGAAGCUGCAACGGCAGUUUGUAUAGUUUAAUGUUGUAUCUUUUCAAAGUUGGGCCAUGUGCAGAACUCCUCUAUAUACUGAAGCAGACAACAUUUAAUUCUACUCAAGAACCAGUGAGCAUACAAUGCCAAUCUCAAAGUUUAUUGUCAUGAGAUAUGUAAACUAUUUGUGUUAUAUCUAUCAUUUAAGUUUUGGAUAUUAAAGUUUGAUUGUAAUUAAUUAGAUGAGUUAGAGGUUGUAUUUAACUUUUAAAAGCUCUAUACAUUUUUGUGUUAUAUCUGUCAGUGUAUUUAAUCGCUACGAUCUUCAAGGUUUAGUCAAUUUAGUUAAAUGGUUGCCCUUU